GGCAAUAUAGUAUUGCAGGCUAUACACAGUAUGCCACUGUGAGCAUGCCAUGUCAAAGCCAGUCAAAACGGGUCAGAUCCUUUUUUUCAGUAGCUUUAUAAAGUGAGCAUUUCAUGCAAAAUCUUAUCUAAAAGAAUAUCAUUCAACUUGCAUUCAGAAUCUAACUGAAACACAACAGACUGCGCAGCCGUGUAUUUUUAGAACGCGCUGUUUACCUUUCCAAACGGAUCUGUGAAAAGCGUAUCCUACUCAUCCAUUACUGGACGGUUCAUUCCACUGCGAUGAUGGUAGCAAACACACAUCGUCACACACGCAACGCGCCAGGGCACCUGAGGUUACAACUCAAGGAAUCUCUUCAUCGUGUCAUCAUCUGAACACUGAAAAGUACGGCAAGAUGACAUCUGCCGUCACCAAGGCAAUGAUCGAGUCGUAUGCGCUCAUGGUCAUGGUAAUGGGAACGUUUUUCGUAUACUUCUGCGGCAUGGUCUGGGCAUUCUGCAACCCGAAACUCAGCGCUGCCGAAGAGGACGUAGCGGCAGACACGGACACGGCGGCAGAAGCGGCAGCUCCACAGCAACGUUGCUGGGCUUGCGAUCAGAUCGCUAUGGAGACAAUAAGCUAUAACGAUGGAGCGCAUCCCGGGGCAUCGCCUUCAAUAGGGGACUGGAUCGCUCGAAGUACUUACAUCCAUUUCUGGGGAGGCAGUGACAGCCUUUUAAUGUCAGAUAACGCUGGAUUUCUUAGUGAGGAAAGCAGUCAACAAUCAGCCAUGUGGAUUCAAUAAAGACAUGUUAUGUAAGGAUUGUAUUUGAUCAAUAUAAACCAAUACAAUGUAAAGUAUUGGUUUAUAUUGUUAUUUAGCUUUAUCACAGUGUUUUACAGUGAAUUAGCACAGGUUGCUGCAGAACAGAUGCAAAACAUCCAAUAUGUCACUGCUCUGUUCAUAUGCCAAACAGAAGUGAUAAAAAAAAUCAGUUAAUUGAAAUGUAGGCAAAUUUUUUCUAGGUAAUUUGACCUUUAGAUUGUACCCAGUGCCCCGCAGAGAGAACUUCACAUCGCACGAGACCCAUGCUUCAAGAGCAUCAACACACUCAAGUCAUGACAGUAGAACAUGCUAGAUUAUGCUUCACAAACAGUCGGUCUACGUUUGUUCAUGUGGUUAAAGGUCACAGCAGUCACGUCCUGGAGGUGAAGCGCUCCUCCGUCAGUGUCCUCCCUGCUUUGACUUCCUGCUCCAAUAACUUCUCAUAAAGGCCCUCUGACAUCUCAUCAUCAAUAUCCUUCUACAAGCCUACAGGACGUGAACAGGAAUGACACAGAAGAUCGAUCGCAUGUCAUUGGAGCGUACUGAAGGACACUGAGAAAUCGUUAUUUGGAAUGGAUUAGAAACCCAAGCAAUUACUCUCGUCAAAGACAGUGAUCGCUCAGAGGCUAAUUUAAGAUACGGACAGACCAUAAAUCUUCAGAUAAACCAUUAGAAUAAAUUAACGAGUUAUAGAA